rnacentral:tRNA from 1 species
GGCUCCGUGGCGCAAUGGAUAGCGCAUUGGACUUCUAGAUUGCAAUUGAAGGCAUUCAAAGGUUGUGGGUUCGAGUCCCACCGGAGUCG